GAAAUGCGAUACUUGGUGUGAAUUGCAGAAUCCCGUGAACCAUCGAGUCUUUGAACGCAAGUUGCGCCCGAAGCCUUUACGGCCUUGUAGGACCCUGAGUGUCCCCUUUAGGAGACAAACCGUUGCGACCCCAGGUCAGGCGGGGCUACCCGCUGAGUUUAA
rnacentral:misc_RNA from 1 species